UACAGGGGGGGCAAGCGUUGUUCGGAAUUACUGGGCGUAAAGGGCCAGUAGGCGGCCGACUAAGUCCGACGUGAAAUCCCCAGGCUUAACCUGGGAACUGCGUCGGAUACUGGUUGGCUUGAAUUCGGGAGAGGGAUGCAGAAUUCCAGGUGUAGCGGUGAAAUGCGUAGAUAUCGGGAGGAACACCGGUGGCGAAGGCGGCGACCUGGGUAGAUACUGACGCUGAGGUGCGAAAGCGUGGGAGCAAACAGG
rnacentral:rRNA from 1 species